rnacentral:rRNA from 1 species
GACGAACGCUGGCGGCGUGCUUAACACAUGCGAGUCGAACGGAAAGGCCCUGCUUUUGUGGGGUGCUCGAGUGGCGAACGGGUGAGUAACACGUGAGUAACCUGCCCUUGACUUUGGGAUAACUUCAGGAAACUGGGGCUAAUACCGGAUAGGAGCUCCUGCUGCAUGGUGGGGGUUGGAAAGUUUUGGCGGUUGGGGAUGGACUCGCGGCUUAUCAGCUUGUUGGUGGGGUAGUGGCUUACCAAGGCUUUGACGGGUAGCCGGCCUGAGAGGGUGACCGGCCACAUUGGGACUGAGAUACGGCCCAGACUCCUACGGGAGGCAGCAGUGGGGAAUAUUGCACAAUGGGCGGAAGCCUGAUGCAGCAACGCCGCGUGCGGGAUGACGGCCUUCGGGUUGUAAACCGCUUUCGCCUGUGACGAAGCGUGAGUGACGGUAAUGGGUAAAGAAGCACCGGCUAACUACGUG